GGCGAAUUCAGGAGAGACGCCAUCUAUAUCGUGGGACAGGUACAGUCAUCUAUGUGAGACUAUGGAGAUGGGUAACAAAGCAUAUCGUGAGAACAGAUGGGACGAGGCAAUCAAUCGUUACACAAGAGCUAGCAACAUUAAGCCGGAUGAUCCUAUUAUUCUUAGCAACAGAUGCGCUUCAUACCUCAGGUAUAGCCAAUUUCUGAAAAGUAGAUCUGCAUCAGAUUCAGAAUACAGGCCAUUGAGUGGGUUGGAUCCAACAACAUAUGCUGGGCUUGCACUAAAGGAUGCCGAGAAGGUGAUGCAUCUGCAGAACAAUUCAGUUACCUCAUAUAUUCUGAAGGCAAACUCACUCAUUUUGUUAGAAAAAUAUGAGCUCGCCCAAGAGAUAAUCCGUUCAGGACUUCAAAUAAAUCCUCAAAGCAAUCCCCUUCUAAAUUUGGAGAAAUCGAUCAAAACUACACUUGGAAGGAGAACCCACGGGAGACCACAGCGCAGUGAUGAAUUUGACUGCACCCUGUGCUUAAAGUUAUUAUAUGAACCUAUAACAACUCCCUGUGGACAUUCUUUUUGCCGUGCAUGCCUUUUCCAGUCGAUGGACCGAUAUAACAGAUGUCCAUUGUGCCGAACAGUUCUUUUCAUUAGUCCCAGAACGUGUGCAAUCAGUGUAACGUUGAAAAACAUAAUAGAAAAAACUUUUCCUGAGGAAUAUGCUGAAAGGAAGGCUGAGAAUGACAGUUUGAUAAACCUCGGUGUUGACUUGCUGCCCCUUUUCGUCAUGGACGUUAUUCUACCAUGCGAGAAGCUUGCACUCAACAUUUUUGAACCGCGUUACAGACUUAUGAUCAGAAGGAUAAUGGAAGGAAAUCGCCGAAUGGGA
rnacentral:misc_RNA from 1 species